rnacentral:rRNA from 1 species
GAUGAACGCUGGCGGCGUGCCUAAUACAUGCAAGUCGAACGGACAGACGAGGAGCUUGCUCCUCUGACGUUAGCGGCGGACGGGUGAGUCACACGUGGAUCCCCUCCCUAUCAGACUGGGAUAACUUCGGGACACCGGCGCUUAUACCGGAUGAUAUCUUGAACCGCGUGGUUCGUUGGAGAGAGACGGCUUUUCUGUCUCUUCUCGAUGCAUCCGCGCCGGAUUAGCUAGUUGGUAAGGUCACGGCUUACCACGGCAACCAUGCGUAGCCGACCUGAGAGGGUGGUAGGCCACAUUGGAACGGGACCACGGUCCAGACGACUACGGGAGGCAGCAGUAGGGAAUCGGACGCAACGGGCGAAAGCCUGACGGAGCAAGGCCGCGUGAGUGAUGAAGGUCUUCGGAUCGGAAAACUCUGUUAUGAGUGAAGAACAAAUGUGUAAUGAACUAUGCACGGAUUGACGGUACCGAAUCAGAAAGCCACGGCUAACUACGUG